rnacentral:rRNA from 1 species
UACCGAGUUUUAACUCCCUAACCCUUCUGUGAACCUACCUAUCGUUGCUUCGGCGGACUCGCCCCAGCCCGGACGCGGACUGGACCAGCGGCCCGCCGGGGACCUCAAACUCUUGUAUUCCAGCAUCUUCUGAAUACGCCGCAAGGCAAAACAAAUGAAUCAAAACUUUCAACAACGGAUCUCUUGGCUCUGGCAUCGAUGAAGAACGCAGCGAAACGCGAUAAGUAAUGUGAAUUGCAGAAUCCAGUGAAUCAUCGAAUCUUUGAACGCACAUUGCGCCCGCCAGCAUUCUGGCGGGCAUGCCUGUUCGAGCGUCAUUUCAACCCUCGACCUCCCCUUGGGGAGGUCGGCGUUGGGGACCGGCAGCACACCGCCGGCCCUGAAAUGGAGUGGCGGCCCGUCCGCGGCGACCUCUGCGCAGUAAUACAGCUCGCACCGGGACCCCGACGCGGCCACGCCGUAAAACACCCAACUUCUGAACGUUGACCUCGAAUCAGGUAGGACUACCCGCUGAACUUAAGCAUAUCAAU